GACGAACGCUGGCGGCGUGCUUAACACAUGCAAGUCGAGCGGUAAGGCCCUUUCGGGGGUACACGAGCGGCGAACGGGUGAGUAACACGUGGGUGACCUGCCCUCAGCUCUGGGAUAAGCCCGGGAAACUGGGUCUAAUACCGGAUAUGACUCCACGGUGCAUGUCGUGGGGUGGAAAGCCUUGUGCGGCUGAGGAUGGGGCCCGCGGCCUAUCAGCUUGUUGGUGGGGUGAUGGCCUACCAAGGCGACGACGGGUAGCCGGCCUGAGAGGCGACCAGCCACACUGGGACUGAGACACGGCCCAGACUCCUACGGGAGGCAGCAGUGGGGAA
rnacentral:rRNA from 1 species